rnacentral:rRNA from 1 species
AAUUUUGGACAAUGGGGGAAACCCUGAUCCAGCCAUCCAGCGUGGAUGCUGAAGGCCAUCUGGUUUUAAAGUACUUUUUGCAGAGAAGAAAAGGUACCUCCUAAUACGAGGUACUGCUGACGGUAUCUGCAGAAUAAGCACCGGCUAACUACUGGCCCGCAGCCGCGGUAAUAAGGAGGGGGCAAGCGUUAAUCGGAAUUACUGGGCGUAAAGAGUGUGUAGGCGGUUCGGAAAGAAAGAUGUGAAAUCCCAGGGCUCAACCUUGGAACUGCAUUUUUAACUCCCGAGCUAGAGUAUGUCAGAGGGGGGUAGAAUUCCACAUGUAGCAGUGAAAUGCGUAGAUAUGUGGAGGAAUACCGAUGGCGAAGGCAGCCCCCUGGGAUAAUACUGACGCUCAGACACGAAAGCGUGGGGAGCAAACA